GAUGAACGCUGGCGGCGGGCCUAAUACAUGCAAGUCGAGCGAACGGACGAGAAGCUUGCUUUUCUGAUGUUAGCGGCGGACGGGUGAGUAACACGUGGAUAACCUACCUAUAAGACUGGGAUAACUUCGGGAAACCGGAGCUAAUACCGGAUAAUAUUUUGAACCGCAUGGUUCAAAAGUGAAAGACGGUCUUGCUGUCACUUAUAGAUGGAUCCGCGCUGCAUUAGCUAGUUGGUAAGGUAACGGCUUACCAAGGCAACGAUGCAUAGCCGACCUGAGAGGGUGAUCGGCCACACUGGAACUGAGACACGGUCCAGACUCCUACGGGAGGCAGCAGUAGGGAAUCUUCCGCAAUGGGCGAAAGCCUGACGGAGCAACGCCGCGUGAGUGAUGAAGGUCUUCGGAUCGUAAAACUCUGUUAUUAGGGAAGAACAUAUGUGUAAGUAACUGUGCACAUCUUGACGGUACCUAAUCAGAAAGCCACGGCUAACUACGUG
rnacentral:rRNA from 1 species